rnacentral:tmRNA from 1 species
ACAAACUAGUUAUUUAAUAAUUUGUCAGUUAAUUUUUUAAAUAAUGAACUUUACUAACUGACUAAGCUUGUAGAGGUUCCUCGAGUGGUAAUUUCGGACGCGAGUUCGAUUCUCGCCGACUCCACCA